rnacentral:rRNA from 1 species
GACGAACGCUGGCGGCGUGCUUAACACAUGCAAGUCGAACGGAAAGGCCCUGCUUUUGUGGGGUGCUCGAGUGGCGAACGGGUGUGUAACACGUGAGUAACCUGCCCUUGACUUUGGGAUAACUUCAGGAAACUGGGGCUAAUACCGGAUAGGAGCUCCUGCUGCAUGGUGGGGGUUGGAAAGUUUCGGCGGGUGGGGGUGGACUCGCGGCUUAUCAGCUUGUUGGUGGGGUAGUGGCUUACCAAGGCUUUGACGGGUAGCCGGCCUGAGAGGGUGACCGGCCACAUGGGGACUGAGAUACGGCCCAGACUCCUACGGGAGGCAGCAGUGGGGAAUAUUGCACAAGGGGCGGAAGCCUGAGGCAGCAACGCCGCGUGCGGGAUGACGGCCUUCGGGUUGUAAACCGCUUUCGCCUGUGACGAAGCGUGAGUGACGGUAAUGGGUAAAGAAGCACCGGCUAACUACGUG